AUUGAACGCUGGCGGCAUGCCUAACACAUGCAAGUCGAACGGUUUAUGGAGCUUGCUUCAUAGAUAGUGGCGGACGGGUGAGUAAUAUGUAGGAAUCUGCCUUGAGGAGGGGGAUAACUUGGGGAAACUCAAGCUAAUACCGCGUAAGUCGGGAACGAGAAAGCAGGGGAUCGAAAGACCUUGCGCCUUAAGAUGAGCCUACAUCGGAUUAGCUAGUUGGUGGGGUAAAGGCCUACCAAGGCGAUGAUCCGUAGCUGGUCUGAGAGGAUGACCAGCCACACUGGGACUGAGACACGGCCCAGACUCCUACGGGAGGCAGCAGUGGGGAAUAUUGGACAAUGGGCGAAAGCCUGAUCCAGCAAUGCCGCGUGUGUGAAGAAGGCCUCGGUUGUAAG
rnacentral:rRNA from 1 species